rnacentral:rRNA from 1 species
AAACUGCCCGAUGGAGGGGGAUAACUACUGGAAACGGUAGCUAAUACCGCAUAACGUCGCAAGACCAAAGAGGGGGACCUUCGGGCCUCUUGCCAUCGGAUGUGCCCAGAUGGGAUUAGCUAGUAGGUGGGGUAACGGCUCACCUAGGCGACGAUCCCUAGCUGGUCUGAGAGGAUGACCAGCCACACUGGAACUGAGACACGGUCCAGACUCCUACGGGAGGCAGCAGUGGGGAAUAUUGCACAAUGGGCGCAAGCCUGAUGCAGCCAUGCCGCGUGUAUGAAGAAGGCCUUCGGGUUGUAAAGUACUUUCAGCGAGGAGGAAGGUGUUGUGGUUAAUAACCGCAGCAAUUGACGUUACUCGCAGAAGAAGCACCGGCUAACUCCGUGCCAGCAGCCGCGGUAAUACGGAGGGUG